UACAGAGGUCUCAAGCGUUGUUCGGAUUCAUUGGGCGUAAAGGGUGCGUAGGCGGCGCGGUAAGUCGGGUGUGAAAUCUCGGAGCUUAACUCCGAAACUGCAUUCGAUACUGCCGUGCUUGAGGACUGGAGAGGAGACUGGAAUUUACGGUGUAGCGGUGAAAUGCGUAGAUAUCGUAAGGAAGAUCAGUGGCGAAGGCGGGUCUCUGGACAGUUCCUGACGCUGAGGCACGAAGGCCAGGGGAGCAAACGGG
rnacentral:rRNA from 1 species